CCUGUUGUACGACCACUGGCAUACAAAGAGAGGACGGCCUGGAUGGCAACAUACAUAGCAGGUACAUUGAAGGUCUCAAACAUGAUCUGAGUCAUCUUUUCUCUAUUGGCCUUGGGGUUGAGAGGUGCUUCCGUGAGAAGCACAGGGUGCUCCUCAGGAGCAACACGGAGUUCGUUGUAGAAUGUAUGAUGCCAGAUCUUUUCCAUAUCAUCCCAGUUGCUCACAAUACCAUGCUCAAUAGGAUAUUUCAAAGUAAGGAUACCUCUUUUAGAUUGUGCUUCAUCUCCUACAUAGGCAUCCUUCUGACCCAUCCCAACCAUAACACCAGUGUGCCGGGGACGACCAACGAUACUGGGAAAAACUGCCCUUGGAGCAUCAUCACCAGCAAAACCGGCCUACAUUACAGACAAAAUUAGCUUAACCAUAUGAUACUUCUCAUAAAGAAAUAAACAAUAACCAAGAUUAUAACUCAGGUCUAGAAGAGUUCAUAGUCCGGCCAGGUUUGUGUAUAAUAUCAUCAUAAUUCUUAUGUCCCCAAGCUCGGCUUAGUCCAUAAUAUGAUCUCAUAUUUUACCCAAAUCUACCAAUAGUAUUUUCUAUUUCUUAAAAUAUAUUUUUCAUUUAAUAUUUAGUAUUUUUUUGGGUAUUCUUCAUGUCCAUGUUUAUGGUCCAUGUUCAUGGAUUAUAGCUACCUUUCCCAACAAUUUCGUCUCCAAGGUCUAAAUCUAUGUCUCCUCUUAGGAAUGCAAUGUGUCUUACAAUUGAUUAAGAAAAUUAAUGUUUAAAUUAUAGUAUUAUAUAUGUAUCUAUUAUAUCUAUAAAUUAUAUAAUGUAAACGAGCUGAGCUGCGUUCAGGCUUUGAAUGUAGAAGCCUGAGCAAAGCCCACUUAAACAGAUUUUAUCCUUGUCCAAGUCUAAAAGCUAGGUGUCAGGUUUGCUUUGGUCUAAAAAAUAACUAACCUUCACCAUUCCAGUUCCAUUAUCACAGACGAGGGGUUGAAUAUCCUCACCGUCGGCCAUCUUUUACAAUACUGCAAACAGGAAUCUAGGUAGUGAGUACAGCAAAAUCACUUGUCAACGCGAAUUCUGUGCCCUUCAACUAAUCUAAACAAGCUAAACUAAAGACAUUUGACAAAUCAAUUUCUAGUUUCUCUAAAUGGAAAAAAAAUAAAGUAAAAGCAGAAACACUUAGUCAACAUUAAUUUCUUCAAAUACAGAAAAUAGAACAGUCCAAUAUCCUAGCUGUUUAUGAAACAGCGCAAACAACUAUAGUAGUUAAAAUCGUAGGCAACAUUCAUUUGAGAGAAUCUCAUCAAGCUACCGUAAAAUUCGAUGAACAACAAAUGGAAUCAAUUAGAAAUAAUGAUCGAGAUUAGAGCUUUUCUUAAAGAUAAAAGAAACCUUUGCAAAGUAUUGAAUCUACACAGUGAAAGCAUUAAUCAGGACAAGUUGGUCGAAGAUCAAGUUCAAAAUAAAGAGAAAAAAUAAAUUGUCGUUAGAUCUAUAAAGAAUAGCAAAUGUAAUGAAGCGGAUCAAGCUAAGUAAGGAUCCAGUUGCAAAAGGAGCAGAUCAAGUUAAAUCUAACACUCUAGAAACCUCUCGAACUGUAGAUCUUAGUUGCAUCAUAGCCGAAACAUCAAACUCAAGCAUCAAAUACACAGAUCGGCAGAUUUUGAAGAAAAUUUAAAGCAAAGUAAAAGGUUUACCUGAGUAAAUGAAAGAACGAAGAGGAGCUUCAGAGUAAGAGAGAGAGAGAGAGGGAAGAAGAAGAAGAAGAAGAAGAACCAAAAACGACGACGCUUUUUUCCCUUUUUCUCUCUUCGCUGUAGUUGUGGUGCAGCUGCUGGAGAAGGCAGUGUGCAAGAAGAGAAAGAAAACGGGUAUUUAUCUAUCUACAUUUUUUUUUCAUAACCACGGGUGAUUUUUUUUUUCGCAUAAUGGUUUAAAAUGUCCUUAAUUUUUUUAAAAAUAAUUAAACUCUUAACACUUAAAUUAAUAAAAUUUAUCAAAUAAGCCCUUUACCUAAUAUUAACAGUUACAAUAUUAUAUGGACAUUAACAAAGCUUACACGAUACUCUAUAUCAACUAUAGUUGCUAACAUGACACUAUUACAUCAUCAAAAAUAUUAAAGGAAAUAUAUAAUUCUUUUUACUAAAAUGAACUUAAACAUACGAUUAAUCAGAUUCAUUCGUUUUAAAGCGUAAUUAAUUUUUAGUUAAAAUUUUUUUAAAAUAAUUUAUUUGAUUUUUUAUAACUUUAUAAAACAUUAUUAAAAUUUAUAAAUAAAAUCAAAUAAAAUUCAAUAAAUUUUAAAAAAAAUAAAAACCAUUUAAAAGUUAAGUCCAGAUUCAUUCAAGACGAUUUUUCUAAAUUAUAUAAAAUUUAAAUGAUAGUAAAAAUUAAUUUUCUUUAAAAUUUUGAUAUGUUUAUCAAUGUUUUAAUUCUAUUUUCUCUUUUAAGAUGUAUACAAAAUAAAUAAAAAAUAUUUUUAUAAAAUAAAUAUAAAUAACUUUAAAUUUAACUUUAUUAACUAUAGGUGUAAAGGGUUUUUUUUUAUUGUAUGAAUAUAUCCAAUUAAAAAGUGUACCAAUUAUUUUAUUACAUGUGUAGCUUAAAAGUAGAUAUGUUCAUGAGUCGAGUCAAGUUUAGUCUGGGCCAAUGUAACUAGACCAAUUUUCUAAGCAUGAACCCAACUAAAAAAAUGGGCUUAUUUUUUUCAAGCUAGACCCAAUUUAAAAAAGGUAAGCUCAGGUCCGGCUUAACCUGUCUAUACUUGAUUUUUUUAGAUUAUUUUUAUUUUAAUACAAUUUUAAAAAAUAAUAAUAAUAUACUAAAUGCACAAAAAAAAUACUAAAAUUAAAAUUUUCUAACACAUUAAAAAGUUUUUAUAUUAAAAACUCUACUAUAAAUAUAAUAAAUGUUUUCUUUGAUUAAAAAACACAAAUAAAUAUUUUAUUGUAUUAAGUAUAUUUUUUAAAAUUUUAUAUUUUUUGUUGGGUUAUUUAGCUGGGUAAUUUUUUUUAAGUUUUUGAAUAAUGGUUUAAUUGUUAGCCGAUUAGUGAUUUAAUAUAAAUAUAAAUAUAUAUAAUUAUUAUUUAACAUAUAUAAUUAAUAUAAUAUUUUUUAAAAUAAUAUAUUUAGGUCGGGCAAGUUGGGCUCGAGUAAAAAAUUCUUACCCAAUGUCUGGCCCAUAUAAAAAAUGAAACUUUCUCAUUUUUCGAAUGCACCUUCGGGCUUGGGUGAGUGGUCCGACUCAUGAGCACUACCUUAAAGGUGUAUCAAUUAUUUUGUAGCUUAAAAUAUUUAAAUAAUUAGAUAUAUUCAUACAUUUAUAAAUAAAAAAAACUUUACAUAUACAAUUAAUAAAAUUAAAAUUAUUUAUAGUUAUUUAUAGCCUACAAAUUUUCGCUUAAUUGACAAUGUGCUUUCUCUUUGAAGCUUGGAUAAGUUUUAUCAUUUUGUAAUCACAAUUUGCAUUAACAAUAUUGAAAUCAUUGGUUUUGUAAUACACCACUUGAGAGUUUAGUACGUUUUGAUAAAAUUAUAUUAAAUAGUUUUAGAUAAUUUGAAUGUUCUCUGUUUGACUGUGCUUGAUGGAUCUUGUUUUUAGUUUUAGCAUUAUUAUUAUAUUAUCUUGUCCUAAAAGUGAGGCAGCAUGUUCAUUUUCCUCCCCUUUUUCUUGGACAAACCAUUCUCCUUCCAUUUUAGUUUUGGUGGGAGUAGAAAUCCUUCUGUCACCAAAGCCAAAAGGUAGACUAGUCUGGUCGCAUGGCAUGGCAAAACAUAUACCAUCCAAAUCUAGUUAAAUCACAUUAUCUGUCAGAUAUAUAACUAAUCAAAUAUGGUAUCCAUAACAGUAAAGAAAUUUCAAAAAAUGGUUUUGGAUAUUACUAAAUUUAAAGAGGGCUCGUAUUUGAAGUUCUAUUCGCUGUGAAUCUGAUGAAAAUUUGAAGAUAGUAAUUAUAGCAUUGAGUUUGAAUAUGAUAUGCUAUUCACUGCCAUCCCUUCCACACAAAAACGGUGGAAUUAUCCCUUCCACACACAAUUGACUUGACAUAUUUUGAAGCAUUCAUCGAAACAAAACCAUGCUCAUCACCAUAAUUAAACAGGUUUAUACCCAAUGAAUUCAAAGCAAAAAAGGAUUCACAAGAUUCCAAAACCAGGCAUUAAAUAUAAUUCCCAUACAAGUUUGACCGCAAACUGACUAAUUUUUCAAAAAAAAAUCUCGUACAAUAAUAGCUAUUAACAUUAAUGUUCUCAAAACCCUUGAAUAUUAAAUAAUAAUAAGCACCACAAUACAGUCUCCAGCUCCAAACAUCCUCUUAAGCAAAAUGCUUAAAAGAUGGAAGGUAAGCAAGUAGGGAAUUAAGCACCAAUUGUCCGCCCACCGCCAGCCCCAUAGGGCCCGUCAUCUUAAUGGUGGCGAUACGGUGAAAGGCUAAAAUAAUAGUACAUCAAUAUCAAGUACACCAUCCUACAAUGAUCCCUAACUUCCCCGACAUAAACCAGACUUUUGAGUUCACUUGACACGGCACACCAAAAAAAGCCAACUAAAUGCAAAAUGUAGACCACCAUCAAAAGCAAUUACAAAACUUAGAAGCACUUCCUGUGGACAAUGGAUGGACCGGAUUCAUCAUACUCACCCUUGGAAAUCCACAUCUGCAAAGCAAGAACGUCAGUGUUGGACAACCAUAACACGAAAGAAGUAAAGCCAAAAAUACAAAAAUAUUUACCUGUUGGAAGGUGCUGAGUGAUGCCAAGAUAGAUCCUCCAAUCCAGACACUGUACUUUCUCUCUGGUGGCGCAACGACCUUAAUCUUCAUGCUGCUUGGAGCAAGAGCAGUGAUCUCCUUGCUCAUGCGGUCCGCAAUACCAGGGAACAUGGUUGAACCCCCACUGAGCACAAUGUUACCGUAGAGAUCCUUCCUGAUAUCCACAUCGCACUUCAUGAUAGAGUUGUAGGUAGUUUCAUGGAUUCCAGCAGCUUCCAUCCCGAUGAAAGAUGGCUGGAAGAGGACUUCCGGGCAACGGAAUCUCUCAGCUCCAAUAGUAAUGACUUGUCCGUCAGGCAACUCAUAGUUCUUCUCAACAGAUGAGCUGCUCUUGGCAGUCUCCAGUUCCUGCUCAUAGUCCAGGGCAACAUAAGCAAGCUUCUCUUUCAUGUCACGGACAAUUUCCCGUUCAGCAGUGGUGGUGAACAUGUAACCUCUCUCGGUAAGAAUCUUCAUCAAGGCAUCGGUUAGAUCACGACCUGCAAGGUCAAGACGGAGGAUGGCAUGUGGAAGGGCAUAUCCUUCAUAGAUUGGCACAGUGUGAGAAACACCAUCACCGGAAUCCAGCACAAUACCUGUUCCAAUAGAGAGAUAAUCCAGUGUUAGCAUGAUUCCAAAAUAUCAUUAAAAUGAGAAAAGCUCAUAGAACUUUCGAGUCUAACAAACCUGUUGUACGACCACUGGCAUACAAAGAGAGGACGGCCUGGAUGGCAACAUACAUAGCAGGUACGUUGAAGGUCUCAAACAUGAUCUGAGUCAUCUUUUCUCUAUUGGCCUUGGGGUUGAGAGGUGCUUCCGUGAGAAGCACAGGGUGCUCCUCAGGAGCAACACGGAGUUCAUUGUAGAAUGUAUGAUGCCAGAUCUUUUCCAUAUCAUCCCAGUUGCUCACAAUACCAUGCUCAAUAGGAUAUUUCAAAGUAAGGAUACCUCUUUUAGAUUGUGCUUCAUCUCCUACAUAGGCAUCCUUCUGACCCAUCCCAACCAUAACACCAGUGUGUCGGGGACGACCAACGAUACUGGGAAAAACUGCCCUUGGAGCAUCAUCACCAGCAAAACCGGCCUGCAUUACAGACAAAAUUAGCUUAACCAUAAGAUACUUUUUAGAAAGAAAUAAACAAUAACCAAGAUUAUAACUCAAGUUUAGAGGUGUUCAUAAACCAGGUCAAGUUUGUGUAUGAUAUCAUCAUAAUUCUUCUAUGCCAAAUCUCGGGUUGGUCCAAAAUAUUAUCUAAAUCCACCAAUAUUAUUUCUAUUUUUUAAAUAUUCUUCAUGUCUUUGUCCAUGUUUGGGGAUUGUAGCUAUCUCACCUAACAAUGCCAUCUCCAAUGUUCAAACAUGUGUCUUCCCUUGAGAGUGCAGCUUACCAUUGAUUAAAAAAUUUAAGCCUUACUAUAUAUAAAUAUUGGCCCAACUUAACAACUUUUCUCACACUGGCCCCUAAACUUUUUUUUGGAUCAUAUUGGUACUUAAGGUUGGCAUCUGUUACUCAGAUUGGUCCUUACACUAACACCGUUUGUUCUUUUAAGAAUUUGUUGAUGUGGUUAAAGCAUGGGGCUGACACAUGGAUUCAUCUUUAACCAUUCCUAAAUUUUUUUUUAAAAAAAUUAAAAUUUGUUAAAAAAAUAUAAGAAAUAUACAAAUUAUAAAACUUCAAAUAUAUAUAUAUUGAAAAUAAAAAUAAAAAUAAAAAGAAUAUGUAAAUUGAAAAUAAAAAUAAAAAUAAAAAGAAUAUGUAAAUUGAAAAUAAAAAUAAAAAAGAAUAUGUAAAAAAUUGAAUAUAAAAAUAACAAAUUUAGUUAAAUUUAAAAAAAAACUAAAUAUGUUUAAAAAUAAAUAAAUUUGGUUAAAUUUUUACAAAAUUACAAGAAAUUGUAAAAUUAAAAAAUUUUAAACAUUAAAGAAACAAAAAUUGACCGGUUGACAUUGGUCAACUCCCUGUCAACAUUAGUCAAUGCUGGUCAAGCCCAAUUAACUUCAGUCAACGCACGAUCAAUUUUUCUUUUUUUUUCUUUUUUUGUAAAUUUUAAAAAAUAUUUUUAUUUUUUACUUUUUUUUAAGUUGAAUAUUUAAAGAGUAAGCUUUUAAAUGUUAAAUUUUAACUUAACUUUUUAUUUUCAUUUUUUUAUGUUCAAUUUUUUGAAUUUUUAUAAUUUAUAAUAUCUCUUUAAAAAAUUAAAAAUUUUUCUGAAUCUUUUCAAAAUUUUUAAGGUUUUUUUUUUUUUUUUUUAAGAAUGAUUAAAGAUGAAUCCAUGUGUCACCCUCAUACUUUUCCACAUCAACAAAUUCUUUUGCUUUUCCCAUCAACAAAUUCUUUAAAAAUAAAGAGGGUUAGUGUAAGGACCAAUCUGUGUGACAGAUGCCAACAUUAGGGGCCUAUAUGAUAAAAGCAAAAGUCUAAAGGCCAAUGUGAAAAAAGUUGCCAAAUUCAAGGGUCACUCUACAUAUUAAGCUUUAAAAAAACUAAUGGUGUUAACUAUAUGGACCAAUUUGUGUAAUGGAUGCCAACUUUAGGGACCAAUGUGAUUCAAAAAUAUGUUUAGGGGCAAAUUUGAGGAAAGUUGCUGCUAAGUUUAGGGGUCAAUCUAUAUAGUAAGCCAAAAAUUAAUAUUUAAAUUAUAAUAUUAUGUAUUUAUUUCAUAUAUAAAUUAUAUAAUAUAUAAAAUAAAAUAAAUUUAAUAUUUAUAAAAUUAGAAAAUAAGCUGCGCUAUUCAAGCUUUGAACGUAGAAGCCCGAGCUACGCCCACUUAAAAGUGAUUUUUUUCUUUUAUGUCUUAGCCUAAAGGCUAGGAGUCAGGUUUGCUUUGAUCUAAAAUUAACUAACCUUUAUCACCAAAAAAAAUAAAUUUAACUAACCUUCACCAUUCCAGUUCCAUUAUCACAGACGAGGGGUUGAAUAUCCUCACCGUCGGCCAUCUUUUACAAUACUGCAAACAAGAAUCGAGGUAAUGAGUAUGACAAAAUCACCUGCCAACUCGGAUUCUGUGCCCUUCAACUAAUCUAGACAAGUUAAAUUAAAGACAUUUGACAAAUCAAUUUCUAGUUUCUCUAAAUGGGAAAAAAAUAAAGUAAAAACAGAAACACUUAGUCAACAUUAAUUUCUUCAAAUACAUAAAAUCGAAUAGUCCAAUAUCCUAGCUGCCUAUGAAACAGCGGAAACAACUAUAGUAGCUAAAAUCGUAGGCAACAUUCAAUUGAAAGAAUUUAAUCAAGCUACCGUAUAAUUCGAUGAACAACAAAUGGAAUCAAUUAGAAAUAAUGAUCGAGAUUACAGCUUUUCUUCAAGAUAUAAAAAAACUUUGCAAAGUAUUGAAUCUACACAAUGAAAGCAUUAAUCAGGACAAGUUGGUCAAAGAUCAAGUUCACAAUAAAGAGAAAAAAUCAAUUCUCGUUAGAUCUAUAAAAAAAUGUAAUGAAGCGGAUCAAGCUAAGUACAGAUCCAGCUGCAAAAGGAGCAGAUCAAGUUAAAUCUAACACUCUAGAAACUUAUAGAACUGUAGAUCUCAGUUGCAUCAUAGCCAAAACAUCAAACUCAAGCAUCAAAUACACAGAUCGACAGAUUUUGAAGAAAAAUAAAAGCAAAGUAAAAGGUUUACCUUAGUGAACAAAAGAACGAAAGAGGAGCUUCUGAGAAAGAGAGAGAGGGAAGAAGAAGAAGAAGCAAAAACGACGACGCUUUUUUUCCCCUUUUUCAGUUUUUCUCUCUUCUCCGUGGUGCAGCUGCUGGAGGCGUAAAUGCAAUGUGUUAGAAGUGAAAGAUAACAGGUACUUAUGCAUCUGCCCUUUUUUUCCUCUUUUUUUUUGCAUAACCACGAGUGAAAUUAUUUUUAACGUCUUAAAAAUAAAUUGUUUUUUAUUUAUUUUAAAAGAAACUUUAUUUAAUAAAUAUAUUUGAGAUAUAUCAUAUUUGGUACCUAUAUUUUCAUAAAAUAUUCAAUGUGGUACCUUCACUUUUAAAAUGUCCAACGAAACACUUGAACUAUCAAUGUAUGUUUUGUUAUGAUUCUUAUACUUUCAUAAAAUGUCAAAUGUAGUAUAUAAUUUUUUUAUUAAUAAGAUGUUUAGUUAUUUGUUUUUUAUUUUAUUUUUAUUUUUGUUUUAUUUAAUUUUUCACAAUAAUGUUAUAGUAUUCACGUGGACUUGAUGAUUUGGAAAAGAAAAUUCUACAUGUCAAAUUUUAAUUGAUUGAUUUAGCAAUUCAAAAAUAAUGUUAACAUCAUGUACUAUAAUAGAACAUAUAUUGAUAAUUCAGGUACCAAAUUGGACAUUCUAAAAUACCGGUACCACAUUGAACAUUUCAUAAAAGUACAAGUAUCAUAAUAAAAUAUAUUUUGAUAGUUUAAGUAUCAAAUUAGACAUUUUCAAAGUACAUUUACCAUAUUAAACAUUUUUAUGAAAGGAAAUGCACCAAAUGUGAAAUUAUCCCACUGUAUUUUUAUUUAUAAUUAGGUCGAGGUUAUUUAAUUGCAAUAAUUUAGGUCGCUUUAAUAUUUUCCGAAUUCCUACUGAUUAAUUGAUAAAUUACACAUUAUUUAAAUUAUAUUUUUAGUUAUUCAACUUUGAUGACUUAUAUUAAGUCGAAUCCCUAAAAUUAAAAGAUAUGAUUAAAAAAUACAUACUAAACCAUUAUACGAAAAUUAUAUUGUGUAAGAUUUUUUUUAAAGUCCAAGAUUAUAGUAAUUUCUAUAAAAGGAUUUUACAAACCAUUAUAAAUUGAAGAACUGUCUCCGCUGUUUUUACACUAACUGCAGGUAAAUGCACUGCUCAUCCAAACUCACCCAACGUCAAAAAAUAGUAAAACAUUUAUUGCCUUCUACUUGGUAGAUGGAGUGGCCACAAGAAAGAAAUGAUAAUUUUCUUAAUUUAAUUUAAUCAUUUGUUCACAGUUUUUCUUUUAUUCAAUUUAAUCUUGAUUCUAAAUGUGAUCUGGUAAUGUAAUUUGAAUUUAGUUAAUAUUUUUAUGAACUCUAAUCAUUAAUGUUUUUGCAUGUAUUACAUAUGUAUAAUUCUUGUAAAAUUUUUAUUGAUGGUGUAUUUGGAUGCUUAUAACAUUUAAAAUAUUUGGGUUGACGAUGUGGAGUUAUUUUAUCAAGCAAAUAUUUUUUCAAAAAAUACUCAAGAAAUGAGAGAAAUAAAUAAAUAAAACAUUUAUACCAUUUGUUGAUGGCAUAUUCUCAUCAUAAGUCCCUCCGCCCAUAUCAAUCUAUAUAAUGGAUUCACUUGCAUUUUUAAUUUACAUUAUUAGUCCUUUGUAUUUUACAUAUGUCACAAAUUAAUCUUAUUAAUUAUUACUAUUUUUAAAAGAAUGCUUAAGGGUGUAAAAGGCUCUUGAAUUUUAAAAAGAAGUUCAAGUAAGUUUUUUUUUUUGCACUCAAUUGGGUACCUAAACUGUCAAAAUGCAUAAAAAAAUGCCCUUUUAACGGUCAAAGGGCUUUUUUGAUACAUUUUGGUAGUUUAGGUACCUAAUUGAGUCAAAGAGUAUUUUUGAUGCAUUUUGGUAGUUCGGAUACCUAAUUAAGUGCAAAAAAAAAAUGAUUUUAAUUUCUUUUAAAGUUUGAGGUUUUUUAUACUCUUGAAGCCUUAAAGAAAUGAAUUUCAUCUAAUUUUUACAAUUAUUUUAAAACUAAUACAAAAUGUUAGAGUAUUUGAAGUAAAAGUGUAUAGAAAUAAAUAAUGAAAUUUAAAUAUAUUAAAAAUGUAUUCAACAUUAAUAUUAAAAAGUUUUUUAAAAUCUUAAUAUUUUAAAAUUUAACUAUUUAAGGGAGAAUAUUUGAUGAAUCAUAAUCAGUGCAUAGGUUUCAUGCAUUAUCAAUUAAUAAUAAGAUGACACAUUGUCACUCAUGUAAAACAAAAAAAUAUUGAAGGGUUUAAAAAUAAAUAUAAAUAUUUUUUUUUUAAAAAUAAAUAUUAAUUAUCAUUUUUAAACAUAAAAAUACAAAACUUGAAAUUAAAAACCUCAAAACCGAAAUUUGAAACCAAAAACCUAAACCUAAAAUUUAAAACUUGAAAGAAAAAUAACAAAUGUAAUUAAUAUUUAAUUAUGUUUAAUAAGUUAAUAUUAUUUAUUUUCAAGUACUUCAAUAUUUUUUUUACACUGUAUCAUUUUAUUAUUAAUUAAUAGUGCUUGUGAAAACCCUCGAUUAUCACAGUAAUUAAGAUAUUAUUAAAGUUUUUCGUUCAAUUUCGUAGUGUUCUCACUUUAUUUCUCAUUUAAAUGCAAUUCAAAAAUACCCAAAACACUAAAUUUUAUCUGCCAUAUCUAAAGAAGAAAUAUUUAAUUGAAAAACCAAAAAAAAAAAAAACCCGGGUAAGACCAAAGUUUAACAAUAUCAUGUUAUUAAAAUAAUAUAAUCAUCAAAGCUGAUAUUAAAUUAGUACAAUAAUGAGAAUUCACAAGGCAAAUGACAUUGUAAUUCAUGAAUAAUCUGAUGAAUUGAUUUUUUUUUCUUUUAAUUAAUAGUUCCUAUUCUCAGCCAGCAUACGUACACCAUUACACAACAGACUCCGAUAGCCAUUUAGCCAUAUAAUUACCAAUCGUGUUAUAGACCCUCGGCACCUUUUCAAGUUCGACCGCCCAGCGCCGUUGUAGCAGCACCGUAAUCCUCCGAACCAGUGAGAGCAAUCAUGCCUGCCAUCAGUUGCAGCGCUUCACUGCUGUUGCUCUCGACUAUAAUCUGUCCAUAAACUUUAUCCAAACCAGCAAGAACCACCCACAACUCCGAGUGGAGAACCGCCGCUAUGCCAAGCUGCCUAGUAAACACAACAAUCCAGCUUAAAUGGCAAUUGAUUGUAUCUUGAAGUAAAUAGUUUAUUACGUCUUGUUUCUUUUCGUUUGUAAUGAGAUUAUUAAGAUUUUGUUUUCAUUGAAAAUUUUAUGAUAUUUUGUUAUUUUUCAUGUUAGAUUCUAGUUGAGAAUGUGCUUUCUCUUUGGAGCUUGGAUAAAUUUCAACAUUUUUGUGGUCAGAAAUUGCAUUAAUAAGAUUGAAGUUAUUAGUUUGUUGAAUCUCGUUUUUCUUUUCAUUUAUAAUGAAAUUAGUAGGAUUCUAUUUUCAUUGAAAAUUAUAUGAUAUUUGAUUUUUUUUUUUCGAUGUUAGAUUCUAAUUGACAAUACACUUUCUUUUUAGAUCUUCACAUGUUUUAACAUUUUUGCAGUUACAAUUUGCCUUAACAAGAUUAAAUAAUUACUUUUGCAGUAUGUCGCUUCAGAGUUCAUUGCAUUUUGAUAAAUGGAUAUAUUUUGUAUAAUUUUUUUUUAAAAAUAGGAUUAUAUUAACUUUUUUUAGAAUUAAUAUUAAAUUGGGACUAAAUUUAAUAGUGUCAGAAAAUUUAAUGCGGAUUCGUAUUUGAGGUUCCAUUCGUUGUGAAUCUGAUGAAGAUAGUAAUUAUAGCACUGAAUUUGAAAAUGAGAUUUGAUUCAGAGCUAUCCAUUCCACACAAAAAUGGUGAAAUUAUAAAGGGAGCUCGCAUAAUCCUUCACACACAAUUGACUUGACAAAUUUUGAAGCAUGCAUCGAAACAAAACCAUGUUCACCAUCACCACAAUUAAACAGGUUUAUACCCGAUGAAUUCAAAGCAUAAAAGGAUUCACAAUAUUCCAAAACCAGAUAUUAAAUAUAAUUUCCGUAGAAGUUUGACCGCAAACUGACUCUAAUUUUUCAAAAAAAAUCUCGUACAAUAAUAGCUAUGAACAUUAAUGUUCUCAAAACCCUUGAAUAUUAAAUAAUAAAAUAAAAUAAAAAAGCACCACAAUCCAGUCUCCAGCUCCAAACAUCCUUUUAAGCAACAUGGUUCAAAGAUGGAUUAUAAGGAAGGAAUUAAGCACCAAUUGUCCGCCCACCGCCAUCUCCAUAGGACCCAUCAUCUUAAUGGUGGUGAUACGGUGAAAGGCUAAAAUAAUAAUACGUCAAUAUCAAGUACACCAUCCUACAAUGAUCCCUAACUCUCCCCACAUAAACCAGACUUUGGACUUCACUUAACAUCGCACACAAAAAAAGCCAACUAAAUGCAAAAUGUAGAUCACCAUCAAAAGCAAUUACAAAACUUAGAAGCACUUCCUGUGGACAAUGGAUGGACCGGAUUCAUCAUACUCACCCUUGGAAAUCCACAUCUGUAAAGCAAAAACGUCAGUGUCGGACAACCAUAACACGAAAGAAGUAAAGCCAAAAAUACAAAUAUAUUUACCUGCUGGAAGGUGCUGAGUGAUGCCAAGAUAGAUCCUCCAAUCCAGACACUGUACUUUCUCUCUGGUGGCGCAACGACCUUAAUCUUCAUGCUGCUUGGAGCAAGAGCAGUGAUCUCCUUGCUCAUGCGGUCUGCAAUACCAGGGAACAUGGUUGAACCCCCACUGAGCACAAUGUUACCGUAGAGAUCCUUCCUGAUAUCCACAUCGCACUUCAUGAUAGAGUUGUAGGUAGUUUCAUGGAUUCCAGCAGCUUCCAUCCCGAUGAAAGAUGGCUGGAAGAGGACUUCCGGGCAACGGAAUCUCUCAGCUCCAAUAGUAAUGACUUGUCCGUCAGGCAACUCAUAGUUCUUCUCAACAGAUGAGCUGCUCUUGGCAGUCUCCAGUUCCUGCUCAUAGUCCAGGGCAACAUAAGCAAGCUUCUCCUUCAUGUCACGGACAAUUUCCCGUUCAGCAGUGGUGGUGAACAUGUAACCUCUCUCGGUAAGAAUCUUCAUCAAGGCAUCGGUUAGAUCACGACCUGCAAGGUCAAGACGGAGGAUGGCAUGUGGAAGGGCAUAUCCUUCAUAGAUUGGCACGGUGUGAGAAACACCAUCACCGGAAUCCAGCACAAUACCUGUUCCAAUAGAGAGAGAAUCCAGUGUCAGCAUGAUUACAAAAUAUCUAUAAAAAUGAGAAAGGCUCGUAGAAGUUUCAAGUCUAACAAACCUGUUGUACGACCACUGGCAUACAAAGAGAGAACGGCCUGGAUGGCAACAUACAUAGCAGGUACAUUGAAGGUCUCAAACAUGAUCUGAGUCAUCUUUUCUCUAUUGGCCUUGGGGUUGAGAGGUGCUUCCGUGAGAAGCACAGGGUGCUCCUCAGGAGCAACACGGAG
rnacentral:lncRNA from 1 species